rnacentral:rRNA from 1 species
AAACAUCUAAGUACCCCGAGGAAAAGAAAUCAACCGAGAUUCCCCCAGUAGCGGCGAGCGAACGGGGAGCAGCCCAGAGCCUGAAUCAGUGUGUGUGUUAGUGGAAGCGUCUGGAAAGGCGCGCGAUACAGGGUGACAGCCCCGUACACAAAAAUGCACAUGCUGUGAGCUCGAUGAGUAGGGCGGGACACGUGGUAUCCUGUCUGAAUAUGGGGGGACCAUCCUCCAAGGCUAAAUACUCCUGACUGACCGAUAGUGAACCAGUACCGUGAGGGAAAGGCGAAAAGAACCCCGGCGAGGGGAGUGAAAAAGAACCUGAAACCGUGUACGUACAAGCAGUGGGAGCACGCUUAGGCGUGUGACUGCGUACCUUUUGUAUAAUGGGUCAGCGACUUAUAUUCUGUAGCAAGGUUAACCGAAUAGGGGAGCCGAAGGGAAACCGAGUCUUAACUGGGCGUUAAGUUGCAGGGUAUAGACCCGAAACCCGGUGAUCUAGCCAUGGGCAGGUUGAAGGUUGGGUAACACUAACUGGAGGACCGAACCGACUAAUGUUGAAAAAUUAGCGGAUGACUUGUGGCUGGGGGUGAAAGGCCAAUCAAACCGGGAGAUAGCUGGUUCUCCCCGAAAGCUAUUUAGGUAGCGCCUCGUGAAUUCAUCUCCGGGGGUAGAGCACUGUUUCGGCAAGGGGGUCAUCCCGACUUACCAACCCGAUGCAAACUGCGAAUACCGGAGAAUGUUAUCACGGGAGACACACGGCGGGUGCUAACGUCCGUCGUGAAGAGGGAAACAACCCAGACCGCCAGCUAAGGUCCCAAAGUCAUGGUUAAGUGGGAAACGAUGUGGGAAGGCCCAGACAGCCAGGAUGUUGGCUUAGAAGCAGCCAUCAUUUAAAGAAAGCGUAAUAGCUCACUGGUCGAGUCGGCCUGCGCGGAAGAUGUAACGGGGCUAAACCAUGCACCGAAGCUGCGGCAGCGACACUAUGUGUUGUUGGGUAGGGGAGCGUUCUGUAAGCCUGUGAAGGUGUACUGUGAGGUAUGCUGGAGGUAUCAGAAGUGCGAAUGCUGACAUAAGUAACGAUAAAGCGGGUGAAAAGCCCGCUCGCCGGAAGACCAAGGGUUCCUGUCCAACGUUAAUCGGGGCAGGGUGAGUCGACCCCUAAGGCGAGGCCGAAAGGCGUAGUCGAUGGGAAACAGGUUAAUAUUCCUGUACUUGGUGUUACUGCGAAGGGGGGACGGAGAAGGCUAUGUUGGCCGGGCGACGGUUGUCCCGGUUUAAGCGUGUAGGCUGGUUUUCCAGGCAAAUCCGGAAAAUCAAGGCUGAGGCGUGAUGACGAGGCACUACGGUGCUGAAGCAACAAAUGCCCUGCUUCCAGGAAAAGCCUCUAAGCAUCAGGUAACAUCAAAUCGUACCCCAAACCGACACAGGUGGUCAGGUAGAGAAUACCAAGGCGCUUGAGAGAACUCGGGUGAAGGAACUAGGCAAAAUGGUGCCGUAACUUCGGGAGAAGGCACGCUGAUAUGUAGGUGAAGUCCCUCGCGGAUGGAGCUGAAAUCAGUCGAAGAUACCAGCUGGCUGCAACUGUUUAUUAAAAACACAGCACUGUGCAAACACGAAAGUGGACGUAUACGGUGUGACGCCUGCCCGGUGCCGGAAGGUUAAUUGAUGGGGUCAGCGCAAGCGAAGCUCUUGAUCGAAGCCCCGGUAAACGGCGGCCGUAACUAUAACGGUCCUAAGGUAGCGAAAUUCCUUGUCGGGUAAGUUCCGACCUGCACGAAUGGCGUAAUGAUGGCCAGGCUGUCUCCACCCGAGACUCAGUGAAAUUGAACUCGCUGUGAAGAUGCAGUGUACCCGCGGCAAGACGGAAAGACCCCGUGAACCUUUACUAUAGCUUGACACUGAACAUUGAGCCUUGAUGUGUAGGAUAGGUGGGAGGCUUUGAAGUGUGG